rnacentral:snoRNA from 1 species
UCCAUAGUGAUGAAAAAUACUUAAAUGACUUUCGUUCUUCUGAUCCUUGAUGAUCUUUUUAUUCUGAAUGGA